rnacentral:rRNA from 1 species
AGCAGCCGCGGUAAUUCCAGCUCCAAUAGCGUAUAUUAAAGUUGUUGCAGUUAAAAAGCUCGUAGUUGAAUUUCGGGACUAAUAUGUCGGUCGUACUUUGUACGUACUAGCAUUAUUGGUUUCUCCCUUCUGACGAACCACGAUGUCAUUAAUUUGGUGUCGCGGGAAAUCAGGACUGUUACUUUGAAAAAUUAGAGUGUUUAAAGCAAGCUCGCGCUUGAAUACAUUAGCAUGGAAUAAUGAAAUAGGACGUUUGAUUCUAUUUUGUUGGUUUCUAGGAUCGACGUAAUGAUUAAUAGGGAUAGUUGGGGCAUUAGUAUUCAAUUGUCAGAGGUGAAAUUCUUGGAUUUAUUGAAGACUAACUACUGCGAAAGCAUUUUGCCAAGGAUGUUUUCAUUAAUCAAGAACGAAAGUUAGGGGAUCGAAGACGAUCAGAUACCGUCGUAGUCUUAACCAUAAACUAUGCCGAAC